rnacentral:rRNA from 1 species
UGAAUACGAGAUGCUACGGCGUUGAAGCAGUCUAUGUCAUACUUCCAAGAAAAGCUUGCACUGUCACAAACAAAGAAUGCCUGUACCAUAACCGACACAGGUGGGUAGGUAGAGUAUACUAAGGGGCGCGAGAUAACUCUCUCUAAGGAACUCGGCAAAAUGACUCCGUAACUUCGGGAGAAGGAGUGCCUUAUUUUUAAGGUUGCAAUAACAAGAUCCAAGCAACUGUUUACCAAAAACACAGGUCUCCGCUAAGUCGUAAGACGAUGUAUGGGGGCUGACGCCUGCCCAGUGCCAGAAGGUUAAAGAAGUCGGUUACCAUUCGCGAAGCUGAGAACUGAAGCCCUGGUGAACGGCGGCCGUAACUAUAACGGUCCUAAGGUAGCGAAAUUCCUUGUCGGGUAAGUUCCGACCCCCACGAAAGGCGUAAUGAUUUGGAUACUGUCUCGGAGAGGGGCUCGGUGAAAUAGACUUGUCUGUGAAGAUGCGGACUACCUGCACCUGUACAGAAAGACCCUAUGAAGCUUUACUGUAACUUGAGAUUGAAAUUGGGCUUUAUUUGCGCAGUAUAGGUGGGAGGCGUUGAGAAUAAUCUUGCGGGAUUAUUUGAGCCAUCAGUGAGAUACCACUCUUGUAAUGUUAGAUUUCUAACUUUGUAUCAUUCUCUGGUCAAAGAACAGUUUCAGGCGGGCAGUUUGACUGGGGCGGUCGCCUCCCAAAGGGUAACGGAGGCGCACAAAGGUUUCCUCUGAACGGGUAGAAAUCGUAUCUAGAGUGUAAAGGCAUAAGGAAGCUUGACUGUGAGACCUACAAGUCGAGCAGGGACGAAAGUCGGUCUUAGUGAUCUGACGGUGCUGAGUGGAAAGGCCGUCACUCAACGGAUAAAAGUUACUCUAGGAUAACAGGCUGAUCUCCCCCAAGAGUUCACAUCGACGGGGAGGUUUGGCACCUCGAUGUCGGCUCAUCGCAUCCUGGGGCGGUAGUACGUCCCAAGGGUUGGGCUGUUCGCCCAUGAAAGCGGUACGCGAGCUGGGUUCAGAACGUCGUGAGACAGUUCGGUCCAUAUCCGGUGUAGGCGUUAGAAUAUUGAGAGGAGCCUUCUCUAGUACGAGAGGACCGAGAAGGACAUACCUCUGGUGUACCAGUUAUCGUGCCAACGGUAAACGCUGGGUAGCUAUGUAUGGAGUGGAUAACCGCUGAAAGCAUCUAAGUGGGAAGCCCACCUCAAGAUAAGUAC